CGGGGCGUGGCGCAGCCUGGUAGCGCGCACGCUUGGGGUGCGUGAGGUCGCCGGUUCAAAUCCGGCCGCCCCGACCA
rnacentral:tRNA from 2 species